rnacentral:rRNA from 1 species
ACUUAAAUUGAAGAGUUUGAUCAUGGCUCAGAUUGAACGCUGGCGGCAGGCCUAACACAUGCAAGUCGAGCGGUAGCACAGAGAGCUUGCUCUCGGGUGACGAGCGGCGGACGGGUGAGUAAUGUCUGGGAAACUGCCUGAUGGAGGGGGAUAACUACUGGAAACGGUAGCUAAUACCGCAUAACGUCGCAAGACCAAAGUGGGGGACCUUCGGGCCUCAUGCCAUCAGAUGUGCCCAGAUGGGAUUAGCUAGUAGGUGGGGUAACGGCUCACCUAGGCGACGAUCCCUAGCUGGUCUGAGAGGAUGACCAGCCACACUGGAACUGAGACACGGUCCAGACUCCUACGGGAGGCAGCAGUGGGGAAUAUUGCACAAUGGGCGCAAGCCUGAUGCAGCCAUGCCGCGUGUGUGAAGAAGGCCUUCGGGUUGUAAAGCACUUUCAGCGGGGAGGAAGGCGGUGAGGUUAAUAACCUCACCGAUUGACGUUACCCGCAGAAGAAGCACCGGCUAACUCCGUGCCAGCAGCCGCGGUAAUACGGAGGGUGCAAGCGUUAAUCGGAAUUACUGGGCGUAAAGCGCACGCAGGCGGUCUGUCAAGUCGGAUGUGAAAUCCCCGGGCUCAACCUGGGAACUGCAUUCGAAACUGGCAGGCUAGAGUCUUGUAGAGGGGGGUAGAAUUCCAGGUGUAGCGGUGAAAUGCGUAGAGAUCUGGAGGAAUACCGGUGGCGAAGGCGGCCCCCUGGACAAAGACUGACGCUCAGGUGCGAAAGCGUGGGGAGCAAACAGGAUUAGAUACCCUGGUAGUCCACGCCGUAAACGAUGUCGAUUUGGAGGUUGUGCCCUUGAGGCGUGGCUUCCGGAGCUAACGCGUUAAAUCGACCGCCUGGGGAGUACGGCCGCAAGGUUAAAACUCAAAUGAAUUGACGGGGGCCCGCACAAGCGGUGGAGCAUGUGGUUUAAUUCGAUGCAACGCGAAGAACCUUACCUGGUCUUGACAUCCACAGAACUUUCCAGAGAUGGAUUGGUGCCUUCGGGAACUGUGAGACAGGUGCUGCAUGGCUGUCGUCAGCUCGUGUUGUGAAAUGUUGGGUUAAGUCCCGCAACGAGCGCAACCCUUAUCCUUUGUUGCCAGCGGU